AUUGAACGCUGGCGGCAGGCCUAACACAUGCAAGUCGAGCGGGCCGGCGGACGGGUGAGGAAUGCCUAUGUCUCUGCCUGGUACUGGGGGACAACGUCCGGAAACGGGCGCUAUUACCGCUUACUCUCAGAUGAGCCUAGGUCGGAUUAGCUAGUUGGUGGGGUAACGGCCUACCAAGGCGACGAUCCGGAACUGGUCUGAGAGGAUGAUCAGCCACACUGGAACUGAGACACGGUCCAGACUCCUACGGGAGGCAGCAGUGGGGAAUAUUGGACAAUGGGCGAAAGCCUGAUUCAGCCAUGCGGCGUGUGUGAAGAAGGUCUUCGGAUUGUAAAGCACUUUAAGUUGGGAGGCGUUACCAGCAGAAUAAGCACCGGCUAACUUCGUGCCAGCAGCCGCGGUAAUAC
rnacentral:rRNA from 1 species